GGACGGAUGGCUGAGUGGUUUAAGGCGGCGGUCUUGAAAACCGUUGUGCGUUAUGCGUACCGGGGGUUCGAAUCCCUCUCCGUCCGCCA
rnacentral:tRNA from 2 species